UACGUAGGGUGCGAGCGUUGUCCGGAAUUACUGGGCGUAAAGAGCUCGUAGGUGGUUUGUCGCGUUGUUCGUGAAAUCUCACGGCUUAACUGUGAGCGUGCGGGCGAUACGGGCAGACUUGAGUACUGCAGGGGAGACUGGAAUUCCUGGUGUAGCGGUGAAAUGCGUAGAUAUCAGGAGGAACACCGGUGGCGAAGGCGCACACCUGGCCCGAUACUGACGCUGAGGCGCGAAAGCUAGGGGAGCAAACGGG
rnacentral:rRNA from 1 species